UACGUAGGGUGCGAGCGUUGUCCGGAAUUACUGGGCGUAAAGAGCUCGUAGGUGGUUUGUCGCGUUGUCCGUGAAAACUCACAACUCAAUUGUGGGCGUGCGGGCGAUACGGGCAGACUGGAGUACUGCAGGGGAGACUGGAAUUCCUGGUGUAGCGGUGAAAUGCGCAGAUAUCAGGAGGAACACCGAUGGCGAAGGCAGGUCUCUGGGCCAUUACUGACACUGAGAAGCGAAAGCAUGGGGAGCGAACAGG
rnacentral:rRNA from 1 species